ensembl:lncRNA
UGACGGCGUCGUAUCGCUCGCCCAUCUGUCAGUCAACGAGAAAGACCGCUGCCAAAGUCAAACUCGAGAGGACUCGAACGCCACUUCACUGUCCGGGAGAGCGGAGGAGUCUGAGGAGCACAGUGACAGUGGACGCGAGUCGGGACGGCCCACCAAAAUUCCAUCACCACAACAGCGUCGGACAUUGUUCUGGCAAGAGCUGAAAACUCCCCGACCCCGGGGAGAGCGCCUCUCCGCUGGUUCGUCACGCUGUUUACUCACACGAGCGGCCCACC